rnacentral:rRNA from 1 species
GACGAACGCUGGCGGCGUGCUUAUCACAUGCAAGUUGAACGAAGUGGCGAACGGGUGAGUAAUACGUGGGUAACCUGACCUCCUUUUUGGGAUAAGCCUUGGAAAAGGGGCCUAACCCCGAAUAAAGGGGGAUGGGCGCGCGGCCGAUCAGAUUGUUGGUGGGGUGAUGGCCUACAACGGCGGUGACGUGUAGCCGGCCUGGGAGGGUGACCGGACAUGUGGGGACUGGGAUACGGCCCAGAGUCGUACGGGAGGCAGCAGGGGAGGAGAUUGCACAAUGGGCGAAAGCGUGAUGCAGCGACGCCGCGUGGGGGAUGAAGGCUUUCGGGUUGUAAACCUCGUUCGCUAGCGAAGGGGUAGGUGGAGAAGAAGCGCCGGCUAACUACGUGCCAGCAGCCGCGGUAAUAC